GUGUCUCACUGUGCUGCUGCUGCUGCUGCUGCUGAGGUCAGUGAGUUCAGAGACUGGUACAGGGAGCCAGAGCUCACAUCAAACUCUGCCCGUGUCCAUCACACUGAGACUGGCAGGAGGCUACUCACUGAUUUCACUCCAUGCUGCAGGAAUGGGACCACAGGCUGCAAAUGGACAGAGCUCCUCCACACGGCAGUGAAAAUUCUCAUCCCAAACUG